rnacentral:rRNA from 1 species
CCCUUAGACGUUCUGGGCCGCACGCGCGCUACACUGACCAGUGCAACAAGCAUCCGUCCUUGGCCGACAGGCUCGGGCAAUCUUUGAACGCUGGUCGUGAUGGGGAUAGACUUUUGCAAUUUUUGGUCUUCAACGAGGAAUUCCUAGUAAACGCAAGUCAUCAACUUGCAUUGAUUACGUCCCUGCCCUUUGUACACACCGCCCGUCGCACCUACCGAUUGAAUGGUCCGGUGAAGCGUUCGGACCGUGGCCUUUGGACGGUUCGCCGUCUGUUGGCUGCGGGAAGUUCGUUAAACCUUAUCAUUUAGAGGAAGGAGAANUCGUANCA